UUUCUACAUUACUAUUAAAUUAUCAAAUUGAAUCCGCUACAACUUUUUUCUUUUCUAAAAAAAGUCACAGAGAUUCAUCCAGCGCGAUUGACUGAUCACAAACUUGACAGUGAGUGAGUGACUAUUAUAAACCACAAAUAUGUGUCACGGACUCAAGGUAGCGGACCCACACGCACAGCGGAGACAAGGUUCAGUGCACAACGGGGUUUAUUCGAGCUCGUGGUCAGGCAGGCAAGGGUCGGUACACAGGUAGAUCAUCGGUAGCAGCACAGACGAGGAUAAGGCAAACGGAUGUCAAAAACAGGCAAUGGUCAAACUCACACAGGCAGACGGGAUUAUCACAGGCUGGGCUGGAGACGUGGUCAGGAACGAACAGGAUCAAAACGCACGGCAAGGUAAAGGUAAGAAUGCUGGAAAGUUGAACGGGUGAAUGAACAAACAAUCUGGCAAGGGGCUGGGGUGAGAGGUGGUGCUUAAGUACUAAAUGGUGAUGACUAAAUGACAGACAGGUGAGUAGAUUAGAACCGGGAGCAAGGCUGGCUGAAACUACCAAUGACUGCGACAGGAAGUGGUGACAAAAUAAAACCGGAAAUGAGUGAUUACAGUGACUAAAUGAUCUAGACUGUGACAAUAUGUUGUGUUUUUUUUCUGCAUGCCUAUUGUAAUAAGUGUAUCCUUCCACAGUACCUGACGCGGUGCUCCUGGAAAGCAUUCGGGAACAAUUGCUGAACCCAGAAGGAUGCUUUUUAGUCAACGAGGGCCACGCUGAUGCACCUGCACUACAAUCCAACCCGGAACAACAGAGCUCCUGGCGUCGUCAGGAGGCUCACGUAGACCCUUCACCUAAGGGAACGAGACACAGAUGUCAUUCUUCCUCAUCGGCAUCCUCAUCCCUAUCCUUUGAUUCUGAGUGUCGGAGGCAGGGGAAGAGGGAGAAGGAGGUGUUACUGAGAAGGUAGGCAGCUACACCAAACUGAACAAACAAUCGCACGCAUCAUCCGGGGCUUAAUUCAGCUGGGUCGUUACAAUGUGUGAACUGCUCAAAGCGCUAUUGUGAUGUGAAUGAUAUGCUGGGAUGUUGUUCCUCUGAAUAAUAAAUAACAAGAUGGCUAAUGCA
rnacentral:lncRNA from 1 species